rnacentral:rRNA from 1 species
UNUGACUUGAGUGCAGAAGGGGAGAGUGGAAUUCCAUGUGUAGCGGUGAAAUGCGUAGAUAUAUGGAGGAACACCAGUGGCGAAAGCGGCUCUCUGGUCUGUCACUGACGCUGAGGCUCGAAAGCGUGGGUAGCGAACAGGAUUAGAUACCCUGGUAGUNCACGCCGUAAACGAUGAGUGCUAGGUGUUAGGCCCUUUCCGGGGCUUAGUGCCGGAGCUAACGCAAUAAGCACUCCGCCUGGGGAGUACGACCGCAAGGUUGAAACUCAAAGGAAUUGACGGAGGCCCGCACAAGCGGUGGAGCAUGUGGUUUAAUUCGAAGCAACGCGAAGAACCUUACCAGGUCUUGACAUCCCGAUGCUAUUCUUAGAGAUAGGAAGUUACUUCGGUACAUCGGAGACAGGUGGUGCAUGGUUGUCGUCAGCUCGUGUCGUGAGAUGUUGGGUUAAGUCCCGCAACGAGCGCAACCCUUAUUGUUAGUUGCCAUCAUUAAGUUGGGCACUCUAGCGAGACUGCCGGUAAUAAACCGGAGGAAGGUGGGGAUGACGUCAAAUCAUCAUGCCCCUUAUGACCUGGGCUACACACGUGCUACAAUGGUCGGUACAACGAGUUGCGAGCCGGUGACGGCAAGCUAAUCUCUGAAAGCCGAUCUCAGUUCGGAUUGGAGGCUGCAACUCGCCUCCAUGAAGUCGGAAUCGCUAGUAAUCGCGGAUCAGCACGCCGCGGUGAAUACGUUCCCGGGCCUUGUACACACCGCCCGUCACACCACGAGAGUUUGUAACACCCGAAGUCG